rnacentral:rRNA from 1 species
GCGCAGCAGUCGAGAAUCUUCGGCAAUGGGGGAAACCCUGACCGAGCGACGCCGCGUGUGGGAUGAAGGCCCUUGGGUUGUAAACCACUGUCAGAGGGGAUGAAAUGCCGGAAAGUUAUCUCUCCGGUUUGACAUAGCCUCAGAGGAAGCACGGGCUAAGUUCGUGCCAGCAGCCGCGGUAAGACGAACUGUGCAAACGUUAUUCGGAAUCACUGGGCUUGAAGAGUGCGUAGGCGGUUUCGUAAGUAGGGUGUGAAAGCCCCCGGCGUCAACCGGGGAAGUUGCGUCCUAAACUGCGAGGCUGGAGUGAGGUAGGGGUGGUGUGGAACUUCCAGUGGAGCGGUGAAAUGUGUUGAUAUUGGAAGGAACGCCGGUGGCGAAAGCGACACACUGGACCUUGUCUGACGCUGAGGCACGAAAGCCAGGGGAGCAAACGGGAUUAGAUACCCGGGU